UGAUCAUGUGAUCAAUUAAGCCUUGUGCAGGGGAGAAGAGAGUUUAGAGCUAAAGAAAAGCCAGGGUUCUUCUCCAGCAAGGGGUAGUGAUUGGGACCCCACCGGACCAGGUGCUACACAAACCCAGAAGAAACAGGUACUUGGAGACACUGAUGGCAUGAAGCCCAGGCUGCUGAACAAUCAAGGUUGAAAAUGGGGCAGAAGGAAAAUUUUCCAUCGAAAAUAUUUGUCCCUGGAAAGUUGUGGGUUUGAUUUAAAGAAAAUGUUUUGCAAAAAGCACUUGCUUCCCAUGGGAAAUGACUGGGCAUUUUUUGUAUUGGUUUGGGUUUUUUUGUCAAAAAUCAAAAUAUUUCAAUUUAGAGAUGCUGCUGCAAUGCUUCGUGGGAGUUUUAGUUUGGAUGCCCCAUGUCCUUGGUUUUCCUCUACGAGCUGGUCUUUUCCAGACAGAUGACGUUUCCAGUGAGGUACCCUUUCAAAGAGGACAGCGGUGCAUCAUGGGAGAUGUAGUCUGACCUGGGAGCCUGGCCUAUCGAGGAGAAUGGGAGCAUGGGGUAACUGAAACGCAACUCCCAUGAGACAUGGCAGCAGCAGCAAAAUGUUUUUUUGGGACAAAGUUUGGGUUUUGGCCAAAGUCCUUCAACCUUUGCUGAACAAAGCAAAAUGAUUUUUAUUCAUUUUCAUCAAAAUUUUGCAAGGCAAAACCCCGUUGCCCAACGCGUUCUGUUUACGCCGUUUGCUUUCCUGCAACGACAACCAUGGUGGAAAUUUUGGAGAGGACGAGUCCAAACCCAGCGAAUCUUGGGUACUGAAGGAGCUGUGUGUUGAAUGGAGACCCUGGCCCUACAGUCAGCUCUUAGCGGGGUGAACCGCUGAAGUAAACAGGGCUCUCUGGACACGGGCGCUGGAACAAUCUGUAUAGGGGGGGUGCUGAGCCAUUCAACCUAACUGCAAACCCUGUAUAUAAUGGAAACCACUUCAAGCCGGGGGGGCAGUAGCCCCCCCCCCCCCCAGUUCCAGAACCUAUGGCUCUGGAACCACGGCCCCAGAUCUACUAACCACCUCCUGUGCAAAGGGUGGUCUUUUUGCUGCAGCUGACUGCAGCUCGGCGCCGACAGCGCAGAUACCCUUGUUUCAGGGGACGGCCUGAAACGUUAGUCAUUGAACUGGAUUGAAGUUUGCAAUCUCUGCACUUUCCCCGCCCUGGGCUGCACAGGAGGGCAGAUGAGAUGAUCCACAGUGGCCCUUGCAGUCUAUUAACUAGGUUUGAGGUUUUGUUGUUGUUCCUGUGUAAGGGCCCCGAUCUUGCAAACUACUCAGGUAUGGGAGUAAAUAAUUUCUGUUCUGAGAGUGCCUGACAUUUCUGACUAAGACUGGGGAGCCUCCCCCCCACCCCUUGGGCAGGUGCUGCACAGACACGGGGUGACACAGUCCCUGCAAGAGCUUAGAGCCUGAAUAGACGAAGGGCAGGAGAGGAACAAGAGGCACAGAAUGGCAAAUUGAACGGCUCCAGUCAGUGACCGAGCCGGGAACAGAACCCAGGAGUCCUGACACCCAGCCCACCCUGCUCUACCUCAGGAGAUUCAGCUCCCUGCCCAGAGCUGGGGAUAGAACCGACUCCCACUGCUUUCCCAUAAAGCUAGCCUGGUAUGUCCAGGCAACAGAGGACGAAGCAAAAACCCCUCACUGAUCCCGGGGCCAUUGUGUUUUGCAGCAGAACAAACUGGGCAUGUUUAAACCUCCCGACAGCGAGUUAACAGUUUCCAUUGGAAAAAUAGGACCAAGCCAGGAAUUCUGUCUGUGGGUGCAGCUCCCUGUGGCAGGGCCAUUUCCAUAGGAAAUAUCGUACCGUUUUACAGUGUGUGUUUGUUUAAAGGUGACUUGAAAAGAAGGUGGGGGAGGGGGAAUUAAUAAAAUGAGGCAUCUGCUCCUCUUUAUGGUCUGUAA